AAAAAAAGAAAAGAGGACGACAUCAAAAAGAUACUAAAAAAAAAUUUCGUAAAUUCAUUCAUCAAAAAAGGGAGAACAAAAGAGAGUGAAAAAAAAAAACAGAAAACCAACAUAAAAAAAAAGUAAGUAAGCAAACAUCAGAAAGAAAAGGAGAAAAGGAAAAACAUUGAAGUUGAAGGUCUGUUCGAAUUUCCGGUGAAACCGAUCUCCUUUGGCUCCAGAUCCAGUGGAUAACCAUCAGAAAACAGCUGCAAAACACGUCAGCGCCGUCUCACCUUUUCCGUCAUUGGCGACCCUCCGCCGAUCAGCCGCUGGCGAACCAAGUGCCGCCUCUCUUUCCCCUUUUUCCACUCCCAGUCAUUACUCCGUUGCCGACGUUCCACGGAGAAAUGUUGCUGUUAUGACUCUAGAAAAUGGAUGAACAUUAUUUAUGUAUAAAAUUUUAAAAAAGGAAAACGUUAUCUACAAAUGGUUGGAAUCCAAAACUGUUACUAUUAUUUAUUUAUAUAUGUGUUAAUUAAUUACUAUUAUUAUUAUUAUUUAUUUGUUUAAAUUAAAUAAUGUUAGAUUUAGAGAUUAUAAUAUUUAGUAUUACA
rnacentral:lncRNA from 1 species